GAUGAACGCUGGCGGCGUGCCUAAUACAUGCAAGUCGAGCGAACGGACGAGGAGCUUGCUGGGCGGAUGUUGGCGGCGGACGGGUGAGUAACACGUGGAUAAUCUACCUAUCAGAGUGGGAUAACCUCGGGAAACCGGAGCUAAUACCGGAUAAUAUUUUGAACCACAGGGUUCAAAGGUGAAAUACGGCCUUGCUGGCACUUAUAGAUGGAUCCGCGCUGCAUUGGCUAGUUGGUAGGGUAACGGCUUACCAAGGGAACGAUGCGUAGCCGACCUGACGGGGGGAUCGGCGACACGGGAACUGGGCCACGGUCAAGACUCCUACGGGAGGGAGCAGUAGGGUACGUUCGGCAAUGGGCGAAAGUCUGACGGAGCAACGCCGCGUGAGUGAUGAAGGCGUUCGGAUCGUAAAACUGUGUUAUUAGGUAAGAACAGAUGUGUAAUUAACUGUGCACAUAGUGACGGUACCUAAUCAGAAAGCAACGGCUAACUACGUG
rnacentral:rRNA from 1 species